rnacentral:rRNA from 1 species
AUUGAACGCUGGCGGCAUGCCUUACACAUGCAAGUCGAACGGCAGCACGGGAGCAAUCCUGGUGGCGAGUGGCGAACGGGUGAGUAAUGUAUCGGAACGUGCCCAGUCGUGGGGGAUAACGUAGCGAAAGCUACGCUAAUACCGCAUACGAUCUGUGGAUGAAAGCGGGGGACCGUAAGGCCUCGCGCGAUUGGAGCGGCCGAUAUCAGAUUAGGUAGUCGGUGGGGUAAAGGCCUACCAAGCCGACGAUCUGUAGCUGGUCUGAGAGGACGACCAGCCACACUGGGACUGAGACACGGCCCAGACUCCUACGGGAGGCAGCAGUGGGGAAUUUUGGACAAUGGGCGCAAGCCUGAUCCAGCAAUGCCGCGUGCAGGGUGAAGGCCUUCGGGUUGUAAACUGCUUUUGUACGGAGCGAAAAGGCUCUCUCUAAUACAGGGGGCUCAUGACGGUACCGUAAGAAUAAGCACCGGCUAACUACGUGCCAGCCGCCGCAGUAACAC